AUUGAUGAAAAUCUCAAACUGGCUUUGCAGCAGGACCUGACCUCCAUGGCCCCCGGGCUCGUCAUCCAAGCUGUGCGGGUGACAAAGCCCAACAUACCUGAGGCCAUCCGCAGGAACUACGAGCUGAUGGAAAGCGAGAAGACGAAGCUUCUGAUUGCAGCCCAGAAGCAGAAGGUGGUGGAGAAGGAAGCCGAGACAGAGCGGAAGAAGGCCCUCAUUGAGGCAGAGAAAGUGGCUCAGGUGGCAGAAAUCACCUAUGGGCAGAAGGUGAUGGAGAAGGAGACGGAGAAGAGAAUUUCAGAAAUCGAAGAUGCUGCGUUUCUGGCCCGGGAGAAGGCCAAGGCGGAUGCCGAGUGCUACACUGCCAUGAAAAUAGCCGAAGCAAAUAAGCUGAAGCUGACCCCUGAGUAUUUGCAGCUGAUGAAGUACAAGGCCAUCGCUUCCAACAGCAAGAUUUACUUUGGCAAAGACAUCCCUGACAUGUUCGUGGACUCUGCGGGCAGCCUGGGCAAGCACUUGGAGGCGCUAGCUGACAAGCCGAGCUUUGGCUUAGAAGAGGAGCCCUCGGAGGCAGACGCAGAGGAGAACUGAAUGUUUCUGUCCCCAGCCGCACAUGACACUCAAAGAGAUCUUUAUUUUUUAAUGAUGAACCAGCCCUCCCUUCCACACUACCUUCUUUGACUCUCUUCCACGUACUGUGGUGAAAAAAGAAGAAACGGACUUAAAUCUAUUCCCCUUCCUGGGAAGCGGGGGCAGGGACUGAUGAAUUGGGGUUUUCUUCAGCAUCAAGAAGACAGGAAUGAAGAACUCAGGUGUCUUCAAAGCUGCUGAAGUGGGACCGUGCUAUCUGUUAGCCACUGUGGUACCUGCUUGGCAAACUGUGUGCGUUCCUUGAGAUAAAGUGUCUUUUCAUUGCUGUGGGGAUCCUACGGUUGAAGACGUCCUCUGGGGGAGGAAGAAGGGCUCGUCCAAAAGAUUCCCCAGUCCCAGUGCCUGUGACUCGUGCUGGGGUCUGUCUGAUGUAGUGAUAAGGGGGAGCCCGUUCGCUAAGCGGCCGGUGUCUUUAAAUCCAGGGCUCCAGGGGUCACACCGAGUGUUACAUCUCCAGAGACAGCUGUGUGGGUACGAGUUCAUGCCCUAGUCCCUGGGUCAGAAGGGCUGCAUCAGAACCCACUCAAAUGUUUUUUCGUUACUAAUUGGGAGAUGUGAUGUGGGGAACACAAACAUGAAAAAAAGGUUUUCUUGUGCCCGGAAGUUGGAGUCGGGGGCAGGAGUGUGUACCAGGUCGCUAAGUGGAGGGCAGCUGUCUGGAGUGAACUUGCAAGCCUGUUGGUAUCGUCCGCGACAAGCCCUGGCUGAGGAUUUGUUAUUAGCUGCCCCUCCCCCUCCGAGAAGAACUCCCACUGUACCCCUCUUUUCUCGGUGAAACUACAAAUGAUACUUUCUGGCACAGAUUUCCAUCUCAUUUUUGAUCCCACGCCCAGACUUCUGAUUAAUCGAAUGGCCCCCAAAGUCGGGCUCCCUUGCUUCUAAGUAGCACCAGGCUCUCCGGGAGUUGGCGGAGCAUUCAGCCGGCCUAGGAGUACACAAAGGGUUAACCCCUUUUAAUUUAAAUGUUGCCCUUCUCUGUUCUAAUUUGUGGGACUUAGAAUUCUCAAGCCACCGUUCAUUCCUGGUCACACUUUGUGCAGGCAGCCAAAUGUUCCUGGGAGUGAUGGAUUCUAAUGUGCCCAGAAGGCCUUGCAGAAGGCCGUUAGUCUAAGACCAACAUAAGGUAUCCAUCAUUUAAGAUACGCUCACCCUCCUCCCACUUCAGUGCCAUUAAUCACUUGUUAGGAGUACCAUGUCACAUCCAGCAUCCCUGAUUUACGUAUUUGUCGGCUCCUCUGCUUUGAGACCGGCUGCCUAAGCCUCAGAAAACACUACUUCUCUCCAGUGGAAUACGCAGCAAGGACAUCUCAGCCUCUCUGAAAAACAAGCUUGCUCAGAUUCUUAACCGGAACUUCUCUCUAAUACUAGCAUCCUGUGAUGGCUUGUCCCUUGCACUAGAUCACAAAGGAGCCUCGGUGAAGUCCUGCUACACCUACCCCCCUUCAAUGUCAAUGUCACUUCUUCUUUAAGCAAAAAAUAUAACUGUUGUAGUACCCAUUCGUUUAACUCCAAUGUUGUCUGUACCUGCCUGAAUAGGAAAAUCAUGGAAAUGGGCUGUUUUCUUAGCUUGGGACAGCUAACCAAUCUGUCUAUGUGACUUCGUUUCUGUAACACUUACUAGAAAACCUGAUCUGAAAACAUUUGAAUCCUAAACAUGUAAACUGUGACAGCCUGCAGUUUUGUAGGCAGUAAAGUCAUGGCUGCUAUUCAUAAAUGGAACCUCUAUCAAAAUAAGGAACUGUUUAUAAAAGUCAGUUUUUGUAGGACUUUCCAAGGAAAAAUCACCUUGGUUGAAUGUUUCUCACUCAUUAAACUUUGCAGAAGUGAUCUAUAUUCAGUACUGUUUUUAAUCACUUUUUUAAUAUCAGGACAGAAUAUUUGAAAGGAAGCCACAGUUUGUUAAUUUUUAUAUGACUAAAAUAAAUUUGGAGGGAUCUGCGAUCAUAUUAAGUUGAGAGAGGAAAAAAAAAUCACUGAACGAAUUUUAGCAAUAUAGUCAUCCCUCGGCGUCUGCAGGGGACUGGUUCCAGGACACUCCCCCCACCCCAUACCAAAAUCCGUGGAUGCUCAAGUCCCUUAUAGAAAAUGGCCUAGUACAGCUGCCUCUGUAUCCGCGGGUUCCACAUCCGCAGAUACAAAGGGCCGACUCUAUUGAUCCGAAAAAUGUAGGUGUUUCAUAAAUGAUCUGUUGCAGUUUCUAUGGGUCUCUAUCUUUCAACACGGAUAACUUCACCAUUUAUAAACAGUGAAAGUAAGAUCUUCAUAUUUACUGACUUACCUAUUUAAGUUUGAUCGAGGAUAAGUUGUAUCCUGACUAGUGGUCACUCUGCAUCUAUGGACUUAACCACUGCUGCUUUAGUUCUAUUCAGUAGGGUUCUAGCCACUAUUUCUGGUGUUUCCUUUUAAAAGAGGUAAUAGCCAAUCAUUUUGUGUUUGUAUUGCCAUUCCUCUCUAUUUCUGCUUUUGUGCAAGCUGGUGAUUGAACAGUCAAAACUAAUUCUACUUGCAAAGAGCCCCGAGGACUGAAUGACCCCCUUUGUAACUGAGAAAUGAUUGUUGUUAUAUUGAUCACUCUACAAAUGAUAUGCUGGAUUAAUUGCCUUGGACUGAUGGAUGGAAGAACUGUUUUGGACAACUCUAAAGGUGUGAUUUGAUGUCUUAGUUUUAUUUUCAGUCUUGCUAAAUAAAAUGAGUCUUUGUAUUUUUUUUUAUUACAGUGAAAUUUAGCAAUAGCUAAUAUUAGGUUAGGUGAUAUAAAGAGAUAAAACAUUUCUGCCUAGUGAGUUAAGUCGAGCCCCCAAAAUAUAUUCAGAUGAAUAUCUAUUCCCAUUAUCAACGUAGAAAUAAUAAACAGCUUAUUUGUGAAAGUGGCAUAAUUCUUGGUAGGUGCUACGGAGAUUUAUCGUAAAAUACUCCAUACACUGCUGCAAUUCUGCUCCAAAAGAGCCAGAGGUACUUGAAUUGACCCAAAAUUCAUUUUGAUAUCAAUUUGGUAAGAAAGUCACAGUCUCUGUCUGGGAAAUCUGCCCAGCCUAGAGUUGCCGAAUAAAAUACAGGAUGCCCAGUAAAAUGUGAUUUUCAUAUAAACAACGAAUAAUUUUUAGCAUAAGUAUGUCCCAAAUAUUGCAUGAGACAUACUAAAAAAGUAUUCGUUGUUUAUAAGAAAUUCACAUUUAACAGCAUCCUAAACAGUUGACCCUUGAACAACACGGGUCCACUUUUACACGGAUUUUUUUCAAUAAACACAUACUACAGGACUAUUCAAUCUGUGGUUGGUUGGCUUCACAGAUGCAGAACCACAGAUACGAGGGCCUGCUAUAAAGUUAUAGGCAGAUUUUCGUCGAUGCCAGCCGGGGUCAGUGCCUCUAACACCUGCAUUGUUCGAGGAUCGACUGUAUUUUUGUUUGCUAAAUCUGGCAACCCUAGCCCAUGCUUUCUCAGGUUUUUCAAUGGUGCUCCCAAACUUUCUCUGUUGGUUGGAGAGCCCAACACAAAUACUACGAAUUUACAAUUGAAUAGGUAAACUAAGAAUGUAGUUUCUAGAGUUAGACUGACAAGAUUCAAAUCCCUUCUCUACCACUUCUUAGAUGUAUGGUCUUGAAUAAAUUCUUUAACCUGUCUGAGCCUCAGUUUCUUCAUCUAUAAAAUGGGUUGAGUGGAUGAAAUGAAAACGCAUGUGAAGGGGUUAGCACAGCGCAUAAGUGUUCAAAAAUAUUUUCAGUCAUCCGGAAAAACAGGCUAGAAAACACACAGGUAACUAAGUGGGAAAUCAAACAGAUGUGAUAACAUGGAAUAAGAUUACAGGUAGGAUAGCACAUAGAGGAAGAAGGGAACAACGCUGCAAUUCAGCAAACGCAGUAUUGAAAAUUCGUACUUCCAGCAAUGCAGUGGAUAGGUAGAAAAUUGGCCAGUUUGGCCCUGUUGAAAUGAAUUG